UCAAUUUUGUUUUUAUUUUAAUACCGCUGUCGUUUAUAUUUUGUCAUUGUCGGUAAAUGCGGAUUUUGCUUAUCCCAUUCUAUAAGCGACACCAUCUGAUCGAGACAAUUGACGCGCAUUCGUCGAAGAUAUUACAAAAGCGCGCUCAGAAUUUCCUCAGCUUUUUACUCCCAGUCCCAUCAGCUGCAUUUUUCGCGCACUAACGGUGAACCUUGGAUUUUUCUUCGAUUUUUCAGUGGAUUUUAGAAAAUUCCCGAAAGUGGUUUUGUCGGGAAACUGAAAAUGUGGCGACCACAGUUUGUUAGUGUGUGAGUGCGGUGAUUUUAUUUUCUUCGGGUUGGAUAGUAAUUUCUGUACUAUUUUCCAAGUUAUCGUCACUCGUAAAUGUUUUUCUUGACAGAAAUUAAUUUUUACUGUCCGAACUUCUUGAGCCCAAAGCGAGCUUUAACGGUUUUCGCACGUUUCGGGAAAAUACGGUAGACUCCCCGCUGUGUCCUCUCCUCGGUGAAUUUUCCUGUGAGCGUCGACGGAUUUCCACUUAACGGAAGUUUUCCUCCUUUGUGGUCCGCAAGUGAUUUUUUUUCCCACCGAGAUUUAACUUUUGAAGUUCGGUAUUAGAAUCAGAGAAAAUGGAAUCGAGAAAAUUCGCGAACGUUUCGUUGACUCUUGUGACUGUUCUGUUGUAUGGUGUUCGAGCCCUAGCAGUCGCUGUUGCAUAUAAUGGAAAAGGUAAGAAAACUUCAACUCCCUGUACUCGUAUUACAACCAAGGCGCGCAUGAUUUCAAAAUGAUGACGGUGCGGUAUGUAAAAAAGCAAGUGUACAGCAUCAUAAAGAUUUCUAAUUAUGAAAUGUUGUGUGAAAGGGGCAGUUGCGCUGGUCUGAGAAUCGUGUUUUGAUGCUUGAUUCUUGUUCUUCAGCUAAAAAUAAUAAGAUCUGCCCAAACAUCAACGUUCAGUAUUAACCGACGUAUCGCAUUUUGAAAACUUCAGUUUAUGACGUCUUCCACCGCGGUUGCGAAACCCUUGGUUUCAUCCACCUUGCUUUCAUCAGUCAUGUGUGAAACUGCUUCAAGUGAAACUCGGAUGAAAGCAAGGUGGAAGAAACCAAGGGUGUAAAUACCGUCGUCGAUGACGUCAUAAUCCGACUUUUUCAAACCACAAUACCUCGAUUAAUACUGAACGUAGAGAGUUGCUGUUUGGGUAGAUCUUGUUAUUUUUCUCUAAUUUACAUAAAUCAAGCAUCAAAACACGAUCCUGUGACCAGCGCAUUGUGCUUGCCCUUCGAGGAGUCCCGUUCCAAAUGAGCGCUCUCUCAUUCGCAAUAAAUUCACACUGCACGUCGCAGGUAUAGAUAAACUCCAUGUUGACUGUUGACUUUUUCGACCGUAAAAAAAGCUCAAGGCUAAUUGCCCUGAAUUCAGUGUCGUAUUCAUCCCGAUCGGUCCGUCGGAACCCAACAAUUCGACCCUUGAAUUCAUCGAGUGGAGAGGA
rnacentral:lncRNA from 1 species